AAGAGGAAGGAAUUUUAUUAUUGAAUAGUACUAACUUGUUGAAACUUGGAGCGGGUGCUGGUGUGUCUGAUGUUGCUGGUACAAAUGGCGCAAGCAAGAUUAUAGACGCUGAUUUUAGUAACGGUUUUUUUUUAAGGAAAUAAAAAAUAUGGAAAUUUUUUAUCAAGCAAAAAGUU